UCCUACGGGAGGCAGCAGUAAGGAAUCUUCCACAAUGGGGGCAACCCUGAUGGAGCAAUACCGCGUGCAGGAUGAAGCGUUUCGGCGUGUAAACUGCUUUUAUCUGUGAUGAUUAUGACAGUAGCAGAAGAAUAAGGAUCGGCUAACUACGUGCCAGCAGCCGCGGUA
rnacentral:rRNA from 1 species